UACGUAGGAGACGAGCGUUGUCCGGAGUUACUGGGCGUAAAGGGUGCGCAGGUGGCGGCGCGCGUGGGGGGUGAAAUCGCCCGGCUUAACUGGGCGGGGGCCUUCCAGACGGCGUGGCUUGAGCAGCGGAGGGGGACGUGGAAUUCCGGGUGUAGCGGUGAAAUGCGUAGAUAUCAGUCGGAACACCGGUGGCGAAGGCGGCUUCUUGGGCCCUACCUGACGCUGAGGCGCGAAAGCCAGGGGAGCGAACGGG
rnacentral:rRNA from 1 species